CGGAGGCUGGGUGGACGAAGGCAUGCAGCUGAGUACAAUCCAGAAAACAACAGAGGAGGAGUGCAGCAGCCCAGUAUAGCCUUCGGUCCCUCUCUAUCUCCCCACACAUCCACCAACCACUGGAACACAUCUCCAAAGUUCUGCCGGGCCAGCUCAGCUUCCCCUCAGAAGAAGUGCUGCCACCUGCCAGAUGAAGGAGCCUUUUGAGAGGCAGCUGGCAUCGUGAUUGGACUGCACUUUGGUCUGUUCCAAUCCACCUUCAGCUCCAGAGACGGCAGGCGGGACGAGUCAACGGAGGCCGGGUGGACGAAGGCAUGCAGCUGAGUACAAUCCAGAAAACAACAGAGGAGGAGUGCAGCGGCCCAGUAUAGCCUUCGACCAAAGAACUACAGACUCUUCACAACCUGCUCAAACUCUUGGUACAGGACCUCACCACACAGGUCAAGAAGGUUUCUGUCUCAUUUCUACUCUGAAGCUCACCUUCUCCUGCUCAAACUGCUGACAAAUGUUUCUGCUGCUCUAAAGUCUGCUCUCCAGAACUUCCUAAAAACUCUCAAAGUCUCUU
ensembl:lncRNA